rnacentral:rRNA from 1 species
GAUGAACGCUAGCUACAGGCUUAACACAUGCAAGUCGAGGGGCAUCAGGAAGAAAGCUUGCUUUCUUUGCUGGCGACCGGCGCACGGGUGAGUAACACGUAUCCAACCUGCCCUUUACUCGGGGAUAGCCUUUCGAAAGAAAGAUUAGUACCCGAUGGUAUAAUUAUUCCGCAUGGUUUGAUUAUUAAAGGAUUCCGGUAAAGGAUGGGGAUGCGUUCCAUUAGGUUGUUGGUGAGGUAACGGCUCACCAAGCCUUCGAUGGAUAGGGGUUCUGAGAGGAAGGUCCCCCACAUUGGAACUGAGACACGGUCCAAACUCCUACGGGAGGCAGCAGUGAGGAAUAUUGGUCAAUGGGCGCUAGCCUGAACCAGCCAAGUAGCGUGAAGGAUGAAGGCUCUAUGGGUCGUAAACUUCUUUUAUAUUAGAAUAAAGUGCAGUAUGUAUACUGUUUUGUAUGUAUAAUAUGAAUAAGGAUCGGCUAACUCCGUGCCAGCAGCCGCGGUAAUACGGAGGAUCCGAGCGUUAUCCGGAUUUAUUGGGUUUAAAGGGAGCGUANGUGGACUGGUAAGUCAGUUGUGAAAGUUUGCGGCUCAACCGUAAAAUUGCAGUUGAUACUGUCAGUCUUGAG